GUGACGUUUCAGUAGAUUUUACGUUUUCAAGGUAAUUCUUCAUCUGUUGAUAUAUACUGUGAACGUUUUGCAUAUAUUUAAAUAUAUUUACCUAUUGUUGAAAAUCGAAUAUUUAUAUAUCAUAAAAUAAACAAAAUUUUCGUUUACAUCAUGAACAUUACAUUAGAAUACAGAUGAACUUGUGAAACGUGAAAAGUUGUGUUAAAGCAUGAGAAGACAUGAUUAUAAAGAUAACUAGAUUUGCCAUUGCAAGCAAUAGCGGAGGAUGUCACCCCGUUCUUGACAUUGUCACAGUAGCAGCAACCAGUUUGAGUGUAUCAAAGUCACAUGGCACGUCUAGUAUACAUGCCUUUGACCCCCCCCCUUUUUUCUCUUCUCGUAGACUAAGAGUGAUGUCUAUUUAUAGUUGGGGAACUCUUUAAAAUCUUAAAUUAGACACACGCUUGAGGAAGAAAGUUGCUGUCACGUGAUACUGAAGUAUAUUAUCGUGGAGUUAGUACAUUACUAUUCUUUUUAGAGGGGACCUUGGACAGACAACAUGUGUAUAUAUUGACGGAGCGGCAUACUAACUGUUCAUUUUAUUCUUCAAUAUCUCGCGUAUCACACGAUACAAGUAUUUUAUCUUGUACAAUUUAAUUACACGCUUAUCGAUUGAUUUCAGCUAAUGUGUAUAUUUUUGCAGGUGUUCGAUUAACGGAUGUGUACUUUAAUGCAAGUGCAGAAAUGUCAAUUAUGUGUACUCUUCAUGUCUCUCUCUCUCUCUCUCUCUCUCAGUGGCGAUUUUCUCUUCAGAGCACGAUUUUUGUAUAGAAUAGAAAGAAGCACGUUAAAUUAUAUAUUCGUUUUCUUCUAGCAUAUUCUAGAAGAUGUUUUGCACAUAGUCUUCAUCACAGAAUUUUGUCUCAAAUUUUCGAGUUUUUUUUUUUUUUUUUUUUUUUUUUUUUUUUUUAAGGCUGUUUCCAUGGCAACGGCGGCCAUUUUGAAAAUUUCGAAGACAGAUGACAAUACAAUAGCAUUUAAACGGGAAUGAGCUUAAAAUUUGUACGAAAAUGUUACUUUGACGUUUUUUACCAUAUGGGUCCAAUGUGCACUUUUAGCGUUAUCUCCAUGGUAACAGCAGCUAUCUUAAAAAUUCCAACGGCAAUGAAUUCUACAGUUUAUACUGCUGUUUUCUACUUACGGUUUUUUUUGCCGUAUCUGUAGCGGUUUAUUUUCUAUGAAUUAAUUAAGGAUUUAUUUUCGUUUUUUUUCACGUUUGGACCGUUUCCAUGACAACGGUAGCCAUUUUAAAAGUUCUUAAGAUGGAUGUCACGCCUUCUAACGAUGAGUUAUUAGUUCUGAAAGUUUCAUUGAAUUUGGACCAUUUUUCGGUUUUUUACAUUUUUGCCGUUUCCAUGGAAACGGCGGCCAUCUUGAACCAUUCCAUGCUUACUGCAACUUUGCACAUGGGGAUUGUCAUUAUGGUGCAGUUUUAUAAAUAUAUGUCAAGGCAUCUCCGAGAAAUCGGCUGGACAAAAAGUGUGGAAGAAAAAAUUCGUAGAAUAACAAUAUAUCCCCCCUUUUUCAAAGGGGUGACAUAAAUAUAGUUUAAGAAUUUGGCGUUUCAGAAAUUUUCAAAAUUUAUGGAUUUUGACAUUCAUUAUUGCAUCCCUGCUGAAGUUAUAAAAAUGAAACAAAAUGUACGCC
rnacentral:lncRNA from 1 species